UACGAAGGGGGCUAGCGUUGCUCGGAAUCAUUGGGCGUAAAGCGCACGUAGGCGGUCCAGCAAGUCGGGUGUGAAAGCCCUCGGCUUAACCGAGGAAGUGCAUUCGAAACUACUGGACUUGAGUACUGAAGAGGAUCGCGGAAUUCCCGGUGUAGAGGUGAAAUUCGUAGAUAUCGGGAGGAACACCAGUGGCGAAGGCGGCGAUCUGGGCAGAUACUGACGCUGAGGUGCGAAAGCGUGGGGAGCAAACAGG
rnacentral:rRNA from 1 species